GGGGAGCACAGGGGGGCAGUGAGCUGCAGAGGCCACAGAGCAGUGUUUAAUAGCGCUGGGGGGAGAGGAAGGAAGAAGGGGAAGGUGGCUGGGUUGCGUUGGUGGGAUCCUGUCACGGAGAGGGCAGCAGAAGAGGAACAGGAGGGGAGCUGGGGAAGUGCUGGAGGCCGCGGUGCUUGGGCGCUGGGGCCAUGGCUGACGGCAGCGAGGACCCGGCCGUGUUCUCCUCCUCCUCCUUGCCCGCGGACCCGCGGCUCCUGGCCACGGUCACCAACGCUUACCUGGGCACGCGCGUGUACCGCGAGGCCCUGCACGUGAGCGGCGUGUACAGCGGUGCCGCGGGCGAUGCGCACCGCGCCGACGUGCCCAGCCCCGCCAACGUGCGCAUGGCGGUGCCCGGCGAGGGCGGCCUGGAUGAGACCUUCACCCUGGACACCCGCACGGGAACCUUCAGCCAUGAGCUUCGGUCAACGGAUUACGUGGCCACCCAGCAGAUCUACGCUCACUAUUCCCUUGUCCACUUGCUGGUCGUCAGCAUCACCAUCCGGCGGUCGGCUCACACCACCCAACCCAUCACCAUCCAGCUCCAGUCUCCUUUUGAGCCGAAGAGCCAGGAUUUGGACCUGAAACAGGGACCCGACUUCCAGGGAGCACACUACGUCUACGGGAGGACGCUGGUCCCCGAGGUGCAGGGGGGGCCCCGUCCCGCCGUUCACAUGCUCUGGACGCCGGUGCCCGGGGCGCUGACGCUGCGCGGGGAGGAGCGGGAGCGGUGCUGGCAGUUCCUGACGGCCGUGGCCGGCAGCGAGGAGGGGGCCCAGGGCAGCUACCGGCGGGGCCUGGCCUGCGCGGCCGCGGGGUCCCUGCACCGGCGCCAUGCCCGCGCCUGGGCCGCCCUGUGGCGGGGCAGCAGCGUGGAGCUGGCCGGGCCCCUGCGGCUGCGGCGAGCCCUGCGCGGGAGCCUCUUCUACCUCCUGAGCUCCAUCGCCCCGCAGCCGGCGCUGCCCUCCCACGGCAUCAGCCCCGGCGGGGUGGCCAACGGUGCGCGCGGCGAGGACUACUGGGGCCACGUCUUCUGGGACCAGGAGACCUGGAUAUUCCCGAACAUCCUGCUGUUCUACCCCGAGGCUGCCCGAGCCAUGCUGGAAUACCGGAUCCGCACGCUGGAAGGAGCCCUGCGCAACGCACGGGAGCAAGGCUACGAGGGCGCUAAGUUCCCAUGGGAGAGCGCAGCCACCGGCCGGGAAGUCUGCCCUGAGGAGAUCUACGGAGCGCAGGAGAUCCACGUCACCGGGGACGUGCUGGUGGCCUUUGAGCAGUAUUACCACAGCACGCAGGACCAGAAGCUGUUCAGGGAGGAUGGUGGCUGGAGGCUGGUGCGUGCCGUGGCUCAGUACUGGUGCAGCAGGAUGGUGUGGAGCGAGGAGGAGCAGUGCUACCACAUCAGAGAUGUGAUGCCCCCGGAUGAGCACCACUGCCACGUUGACAACUCCGCUUACACCAACGCCGUGGCCCAGCGGAGCUUGACUUUUGCAGCCCGUCUGGCUCGAGACUUGUUGAUCCCAGUGCCCGAGCAGUGGCUGCGCCGCGCCAGCAGCAUCAAAGUGCCCUUUGACGCGGGGAAGGGAUACCAUCCCGAGUACGACGGCUACCGCCCGGGUGAGCCAGUGAAACAAGCGGACGUGGUCCUGCUCGGCUUCCCACUGAUGCACCCCAUGAGCCCUGAAGUCCGGAGGAAUGACCUGGAGAUGUACGAGCCCGUCACAGAGCUGCACGGCCCAGCCAUGACCUGGAGCAUGUUUGCCGUGGGCUGGCUGGAGCUGAAGGAGGUGCAGAGAGCCCAGGCCCUGCUCAACAAGUGCUUCAGCAACAUCACGGAGCCCUUCAAGAUCUGGGUGGAGAACUCGGACGGGUCAGGAGCCGUGAACUUCUUGACAGGGAUGGGUGGAUUCCUGCAGGCCAUCCUCUUCGGCUACACCGGCUUCAGGAUCACCAGGUCCAGCCUCCGCUUCGACCCGGCCUUUCCCGACGACAUCCACGAGCUGAACAUCACCGGCGUCUCCUACUUGGGCAACAAGCUCAGGUUCAGCAUCACCAGGGAAGAGAUGGGGAUCGAAGUGACCGAGAGCCCCCGGGCUCUGCCCCUGGAAGCGGUGCUGGAGGAGUCGGGGCAGCGGCUGCCCCUGCACGAAGGGCAGAGGGUCUCGCUCCCCACGGCUGCCGGAUGGAUCCAGAGAUCAUCCCCUGGCACCCCUUGAACCUCGGCUGCUCUGCGCCGGAGCAGGAGCAAGUUGAAGAGAGGAUGGCGGCAGAGGGGAGGGGGAAGAGGCACCCAGAGGCUUGUGAAGUGUGAGAUGUUUAAUCAGCAGCGCUGCCCGAGGCGGGGGUGCUGUGUGCGUGCACACAGGGUAAAGGCAGGUGAAACCGAG